AAUCAACGCUGGCGGCGUGCCUAACACAUGCAAGUCGAACGCGAAAGUGGAGCAAUCCAUGAGUAGAGUGGCAAACGGGUGAGUAACGCGUGGGCGACCUACCUUUGAGUGGGGGAUAACAUUCCGAAAGGAGUGCUAAUACCGCAUGACAUUCUUUGUUUGGAUACAGAGAAAUCAAAGCCGGGAGCAAUCCUGGCGCUUGAAGAGGGGCCCGCGUCCGAUAGCUAGUUGGUGGGUAACGGCUCACCAAGGCUCCGAUCGGUAUCCGGCCUGAGAGGGCGGACGGACACACUGGAACUGAGACAC
rnacentral:rRNA from 1 species